rnacentral:rRNA from 1 species
GUCGAGAAUCUUUCACAAUGGGGGCAACCCUGAUGGAGCGACGCCGCGUGGAGGAUAAGGUCUUCGGAUUGUAAACUCCUGUCAUGCGUGAACAAGGUUGCUUGGUUAAUACCUGGGCAAAUUGAUGGUAACGCAAGAGGAAGAGACGGCUAACUCUGUGCCAGCAGCCGCGGUAAUACAGAGGUCUCAAGCGUUGUUCGGAAUCACUGGGCGUAAAGGGUGCGUAGGUGGCGUGGUAAGUCAGAUGGGAAAGCCCGGGGCUCAACCUCGGAACUGCAUCCGAUACUGCCAUGCUAGAGUACUGGAGAGGUGACUAGAAUUCUCGGUGUAGCAGUGAAAUGCGUAGAUAUCGAGAGGAAUACCAAAGGCGUAGGCAGGUCACUGGACAGUUACUGACACUGAGGCACGAAGGCCAGGGGAGCGAACGGGAUUAGAAACCCCGGUAGUCC